AAGGAGAUUCAGAGAAGAGCUACCAAACUGAUAGGGACACACCCACAAAACACGAGUGAGAAACCACCACAUUAGAAAAAACAAAUAUGGCUGAAAAAUCACUACUGGCUUAUUAAAACCCACUCUUCAACCGAAAAGGCUUCCAGAGCAGAUCAAGAGAAAUACAAAUGCAGUCCUCCUCUAUAACAGUUGAUGAGGAUCACCAUACUGUCCUACACAGAGUUAAACCACCACCACCACCAUCGUGCCAGAUUGUCAAUAGCUGCCAAAUGGAAUGAGAACCACAUGUUGUUCAAGAUAAACACCUGUGCCCAAACCAGCUGAAUAUACGCACAACUGGCAGAAGUAGAAUGUGACAAAAUUAUCAUUUCUACACAGCUAUUAAAGCCCUUGAAUUCUGUUAGAUAUUGCACCUGAGAAGCUUAGAAGGGCAAUGUACAACCUGUGCACAGCAUUUGUGCAACUUGAAGAUGCUUAAGAAAAUGUUACAGAAUUCUCACUCUCCACAACUUGGCUUAUUGAAGUAGUGAAAAGAGUGCCGUUAGCUCCUCAGAUUGGCUCCAAUCAGCAGAAAACUACAAGGACACAAGUUAGAAGACUCUUCUCAGUGGCUAAUACACUCCCCUUUCAUGCUGACUGGCUCAUAGGAUGCUGGAGACAUAAGGACCCUGCUGGGACCUUGCUCCC